CCUACGGGGGGCAGCAGUGGGGAAUAUUGGACAAUGGGCGAAAGCCUGAUCCAGCCAUGCCGCGUGUGUGAAGAAGGCCUUCGGGUUGUAAAGCACUUUCAGUGGGGAAGAAAGCCUUGGGGCUAAUACCCUCGAGGAAGGACAUCACCCACAGAAGAAGCACCGGCUAACUCCGUGCCAGCAGCCGCGGUAAUACGGAGGGUGCGAGCGUUAAUCGGAAUUACUGGGCGUAAAGCGCGCGUAGGCGGUCUGAUAAGCCGGUUGUGAAAGCCCCGGGCUCAACCUGGGAACGGCAUCCGGUACUGUCAGGCUAGAGUGCAGGAGAGGAAGGUAGAAUUCCCGGUGUAGCGGUGAAAUGCGUAGAGAUCGGGAGGAAUACCAGUGGCGAAGGCGGCCUUCUGGACUGACACUGACGCUGAGGUGCGAAAGCGUGGGUAGCAAACAGGAUUAGAUACCCUAGUAGUC
rnacentral:rRNA from 1 species